UACGUAGGCAGCGAGCGUUGUUCGGAGUUACUGGGCGUAAAGGGUGUGUAGGCGGUUUUCUAAGUUUGGUGUGAAAUCUCCCGGCUCAACCGGGAGGGUGCGCCGAAAACUAGGAGACUAGAGUGCGGGAUGGGAGAGUAGAAUUCCUGGUGUAGCGGUGAAAUGCGUAGAUAUCAUGAGGAAUACCAGAGGCGAAGGCGGCUACCUGGACAAUUGCUGACGCUCAGGCACGAAAGCGUGGGGAGCAAAAGGG
rnacentral:rRNA from 1 species